rnacentral:tRNA from 1 species
AAGACAUUAAUAAAAUGAUUAUAUCAUCUUGUCAGGGUGAAGUUGCAGGUUAAAUCCCUGUAUGUCUUA